rnacentral:rRNA from 1 species
AGACAGCAGCAGCCGCGGUAAUACGGAGGGUGCAAGCGUUAUCCGGAUUUAUUGGGUUUAAAGGGUCCGUAGGCGGACUUAUAAGUCAGUGGUGAAAGCCUGUCGCUUAACGAUAGAACUGCCAUUGAUACUGUAAGUCUUGAGUAUAUUUGAGGUAGCUGGAAUAAGUAGUGUAGCGGUGAAAUGCAUAGAUAUUACUUAGAACACCAAUUGCGAAGGCAGGUUACCAAGAUAUAACUGACGCUGAGGGACGAAAGCGUGGGUAGCGAACAGGAUUAGAUACCCCGGUAGUCCCUGUCUCUUAUAC